AACGAACGCUGGCGGCAUGCCUAACACAUGCAAGUCGAACGAGACCUUCGGGUCUAGUGGCGCACGGGUGCGUAACGCGUGGGAACCUGCCCUUAGGUUCGGAAUAACUCCCCGAAAGGGGUGCUAAUACCGGAUAAUGUCUUCGGACCAAAGAUUUAUCGCCUUUGGAUGGGCCCGCGUUGGAUUAGCUAGUUGGUAGGGUAAAAGCCUACCAAGGCGACGAUCCAUAGCUGGUCUGAGAGGAUGAUCAGCCACACUGGGACUGAGACACGGCCUAGACUCCUACGGGAGGCAGCAGUGGGGAAUAUUGGACAAUGGGCGAAAGCCUGAUCCAGCAAUGCCGCGUGAGUGAUGAAGGCCUUAGAGUUGUAAAGCUCUUUUACCCGGGAUGAUAAUGACAGUACCGGGAGAAUAAGCUCCGGCUAACUCCGUG
rnacentral:rRNA from 1 species